rnacentral:misc_RNA from 1 species
GAACAUUGCAAGGUAUCAGUCAGCCUGCAAUAUCAAUGAAAAAAUGGGAAAAUUACAAACAAAACUAUCAUAUGGUUUCACGCAUUUGUCAGGUUGCUUAGUAAAUAGAGAAAAUUACCUAGAAACAAUUUUAAAAAGUUACGAAAAAUUAUAAUUAAGUUCUUGAAAUUUAAUAAAACCUAAAGAUUAGUGAUGUAUUUUUAAAAUCAAGAUGUUUAUUCGUUGAUAUUUUAAUAAGCUU